AUUGAACGCUGGCGGCAUGCCUUACACAUGCAAGUCGAACGGCAGCACGGGUGCUUGCACCUGGUGGCGAGUGGCGAACGGGUGAGUAAUACAUCGGAACAUGUCCUGUAGUGGGGGAUAGACCGGCGAAAGCCGGAUUAAUACCGCAUACGAUCUACGGAUGAAAGCGGGGGACCUUCGGGCCUCGCGCUAUAGGGUUGGCCGAUGGCUGAUUAGCUAGUUGGUGGGGUAAAGGCCUACCAAGGCGACGAUCAGUAGCUGGUCUGAGAGGACGACCAGCCACACUGGGACUGAGACACGGCCCAGACUCCUACGGGAGGCAGCAGUGGGGAAUUUUGGACAAUGGGCGAAAGCCUGAUCCAGCAAUGCCGCGUGUGUGAAGAAGGCCUUCGGGUUGUAAAGCACUUUUGUCCGGAAAGAAAUCCUUGGCCCUAAUACGGUCGGGGGAUGACGGUACCGGAAGAAUAAGCACCGGCUAACUACGUG
rnacentral:rRNA from 1 species